GGGCUUAUAACUUAGUUGGUUAGAAUAGCGGACUCAUAUUUCGUUUGUCUAAUGUUCGAGCCCCAAUAGGCCUACCA
rnacentral:tRNA from 1 species